UACGUAUUGUGCAAGCGUUAAUCGGAAUUACUGGGCGUAAAGCGUGCGCAGGCGGUUUUGUAAGUCAGAUGUGAAAUCCCCGGGCUUAACCUGGGAACUGCGUUUGAAACUACAAGGCUAGAGUGUAGCAGAGGGGGGUGGAAUUCCACGUGUAGCAGUGAAAUGCGUAGAGAUGUGGAGGAACACCGAUGGCGAAGGCAGCCCCCUGGGUUAACACUGACGCUCAGGCACGAAAGCGUGGGGAGCAAACAGGAUUAGAAACCCUAGUAGUCC
rnacentral:rRNA from 1 species